rnacentral:rRNA from 1 species
GAUGAACGCUGGCGGCGUGCUUAACACAUGCAAGUCGAACGAGAAGUGGAGACGGAAACCUUCGGGCGGAAGACUUUACUUCGAGUGGCGGACGGGUGAGUAACGCGUGGGUAACCUGCCUCAUACAGGGGGAUAACAGUUGGACACGACUGUUAAUACCGCAUAAGACCACAGCACCGCAUGGUGCGGGGGUAAAAACUCCGGUGGGAUGAGAUGGACCCGCGUUCGAUUAGCCAGUUGGCGGGGUAACGGCCCACCAAAGCGACGAUCGAUAGCCGAGCUGAGAGGAGGACCGGCCACAUUGGGAAUGAGACACGGCCCAAACUCCUACGGGAAGCAGCAGAGGGGAAUAUUGCACGAUGGGGGAAGCCCUGAUGCAGCGACGCCGCGUGAGUGAAGAAGUAGUUCGGUAUGUAAAGCUCUAUCAGCAGGGAAGAAAAUGACAGUACCUGAGUAAGAAGCCCCGGCUAACUACGUG